UACGUAGGGUGCAGGCGUUAAUCGGAAUUACUGGGCGUAAAGCGUGCGCAGGCGGUUUGCUAAGACAGGUGUGAAAUCCCCGGGCUUAACCUGGGAACUGCGCUUGUAACUGGCAAGCUAGAGUGUGGCAGAGGGGGUGGAAUUCCACGUGUAGCAGUGGAAAUGCGUAGAGAUGUGGAGGAACACCGAUGGCGAAGGCAGCCCCCUGGGCUA
rnacentral:rRNA from 1 species